AAGAGUAAUGCAAAACAAUGAUGCUGUCUUCCGUACACAAGAGACUUUAGAAGAAGGGUGUUAGUUUAUUGACAAGGCAGUUUCCAUGAUGUGAAGCUGAAGGAUCGAACUUUGAUCUGGAACUCGGACCUUAUAGAAACUAUUGAGUUGGAAACCUGUUGAUUAAUGCAUGCAUUACCAAUGCACUCUGCUGAAGCCAGAAAAGAAAGCAGAGGUGCACAUGCCGUGAAGAUUUUACGAAAAGAGAUGAUGAGAAAUGGAUGAAACAUACAUUGGG